AGGCGCGGCGGGCAGGAGCGGGGACCACCGGCGGAGGAGCCAGCCCCCAGCCCGGGCCGCCGACUGGGAGGCUCCUGCAGUCCCGCAAGAACAGAGCCACCCACCUGUGGCCCUGGCAGGUGGGGUAGGGUCGGGGAACAGCCCGGUGUCGGAGGCGCGGCCAGUGUGUCAACAGCUACAGGCUAAAUGUGCAGGAUGGGGCCCGGCAAGCCUGACUUGAAUCUAAGAUGAAGCUGAGCCCCAGAGAGGUGAUGUGUCCUCCCCAAGAUCACACGGCUAGUUGGUGGCAGAGCAGGAAUGCGAGCCCAGGAAUGCCCUUUGCUGAGUGCCUACUUGGUGUCCCACACUGGAAUCGCCCUGCACACACGAUGUUGUUUAGCUCUUCAGCAACGCUACAAGGUGGAGAUUAUCAUCUCCAUUCUAGGGAUGAGGAAACUGAGACUUGUAGAAGCUAAGGGUGCCCAAGGUCUCCCAUCUAGAACUUGCUAGAGCUGAUUUUGACCCCAGAUCCUCCUAACAACUUCCCUUUCCACACACCCAGAAUAUUGGGGCAAAGGAGUGGGGAUUGAGGGAUGGAGAGGGUGUCUUGAGCUCAACAGCUCUAGAGACACAAAAGGAAGGGGACACAGGCUGGGAAAAGUCCCUUCCUGCAAUAUAAGUCUAGAUUGGCUCUCCAUGGCCUCCUUGAGUGGCCCAAAUACUGAGGUCCUUCGAGAAUUCCCUUUUGAAUGUCAGUGGGAGGGAGAAAACAAUUGGCUGGUGGCCCUUCUGGGUUGUGAGGGUCUGGAGAGGCAAGAGAGGCUUUAAUCCACA